rnacentral:rRNA from 1 species
GACGAACGCUGGCGGCGUGCUUAACACAUGCAAGUCGAACGGAAAGGCCCUGCUUUUGUGGGGUGCUCGAGUGGCGAACGGGUGAGUAACACGUGAGUAACCUGCCCUUGACUUUGGGAUAACUUCAGGAAACUGGGGCUAAUACCGGAUAGGAGCUCCUGCUGCAUGGUGGGGGUUGGAAAGUUUCGGCGGUUGGGGAUGGACUCGCGGCUUAUCAGCUUGUUGGUGGGGUAGUGGCUUACCAAGGCUUUGACGGGUAGCCGGCCUGAGAGGGUGACCGGCCACAUUGGGAAUGGGGUACGGCCCAUACUCCUACGGGAGGCAGGAGGUGGGAAUAAUGCACAAUGGGCGGAAGACUGAUGCAGCAACGCCGCGUGCGGGAUGACGGCCUUCGGGGUGUAAACCGCUUUCGCCUGUGACGAAGCGUGAGUGACGGUAAUGGGUAAAGAAGCACCGGCUAACUACGUG